rnacentral:rRNA from 1 species
GAUGAACGCUGGCGGCGUGCCUAAUACAUGCAAGUCGAGCGAACAGACGAGGAGCUUGCUCCUCUGACGUUAGCGGCGGACGGGUGAGUAACACGUGGAUCACCUACCUAUAAGACUGGGAUAACUUCGGGAAACCGGAGCUAAUACCGGAUAAUAUAUUGAACCGCAUGGUUCAAUAGUGAAAGACGGUUUUGCUGUCACUUAUAGAUGGAUCCGCGCCGCAUUAGCUAGUUGGUAAGGUAACGGCUUACCAAGGCAACGAUGCGUAGCCGACCUGAGAGGGUGAUCGGCCACACUGGAACUGAGACACGGUCCAGACUCCUACGGGAGGCAGCAGUAGGGAAUCUUCCGCAAUGGGCGAAAGCCUGACGGAGCAACGCCGCGUGAGUGAUGAAGGUCUUCGGAUCGUAAAACUCUGUUAUUAGGGAAGAACAAAUGUGUAAGUAACUAUGCACGUCUUGACGGUACCUAAUCAGAAAGCAACGGCUAACUACGUG